UCGCCAUCUAUGGCACCGGUCUUCUCUUGGGUAGGUGUUCCUCCAGAUUUUCUUUCUCCCUUUCUAUUUUUAUCACCUCACCGGUGUUUAUCAAUCUGGUAGGUAGCACUUCCGCUUGAAAGCUACUUGACAUUUUGCCUCCCCCUCUAUUUGAUUGAAUUUUUAUUGGAUUAUGCGUACUGCUCACUCAAGCCCACUGAUUUAAUUGGGUUUCGAUUGGAUUGUGAAUCUUGGCCGCUCAAGCAAGAAGAAAAAGGUUGUCAUCAUGUGUUUGGCAUACAGCAGUACCUGCUUGGAGGUUGCAAAGAUGGAUAACCCCGAAAGUUCUGAAAACCCCGCGAGCCAUCAAGUGGAGGAGGGUAGAUCUUCCAGAGUGACAAACAACAGAAGCAGAGUUUGUGCGUCUUCUCAUAUCACAUACAACCAAACAUCGCAUUCGCCAUUUUUUAUUUUUAUCCUCAAACAGCAUUUCAGGCAACAAUUCUGCAGCAGACAUCU